rnacentral:rRNA from 1 species
AUUGAACGCUGGCGGAAUGCUUUACACAUGCAAGUCGAACGGUAGAGGGGGCAACCCCUUGAGAGUGGCGAACGGGUGAGUAAUAUAUCGGAACGUGCCCAGUCGUGGGGGAUAACGUAGCGAAAGUUACGCUAAUACCGCAUACGAUCUACGGAUGAAAGCGGGGGAUCGCAAGACCUCGCGCGAUUGGAGCGGCCGAUAUCAGAUUAGGUAGUUGGGUGAGGUAAAGGCUCACCAAGCCAACGAUCUGUAGCUGGUCUGAGAGGACGACCAGCCACACUGGAACUGAGACACGGUCCAGACUCCUACGGGAGGCAGCAGUGGGGAAUUUUGGACAAUGGGCGCAAGCCUGAUCCAGCAAUGCCGCGUGCAGGAUGAAGGCCUUCGGGUUGUAAACUGCCUUUUGUACGGAACGAAACGGCUCCUUCUAAUACAAGGGGCUAAUGACGGUACCGUAAGAAUAAG